AAUAUCUUACCGGCACUGUUAAAACCCCGUGGUUUGAAUGUAUUCAUAGAAUUUUAAACAUGUGUGGACAUUCAAAUAUAUGGCAUCACCGAGAGAACGUAAAUGAAAUAUGGAUAACAAAUGCUGUGAAACACUUAAGGAUCAAUUUAUUCAAACAUAGUCGAGCGAUAUGUUUAAUUCAUCUAAAGCAGCCGGUGGUACUGAGGAAGUUCCAUUGAUGAUGACUGCAAGGCGAGGAGGAAUGUACAAUAUAAAUGUCAGACGACAACGGCCAUGUAAACGCAGAUGGUGGAGGCGAUGUUAAGCAGUAACUCACACCGCUGAUAUGUACAUCAACAGACUGUAAAUAAACAAUGUGUCCACUCCGAUAUUACUCCAUGAUUCUAUUGUUUUCUAUUCCCAUAGUAUAAAGAAACUAGACAUUUAGUUCUUACACAUGUAUUCAUAUGUGUGACACAACUUAAUAUUUCUUCAUGUUCACUUGAGAGGUGCGUCACAGUUCCUAUAUUGAGAAAUAUGAUAAAAUGAAACAAGAAAAA